UAGCACCUGGAUGCACGGAGUCACGAAGCUAUCGGUCUGAUAUUCAUAAACUUUGGGACCUGGAUUAAAAAUGAUAUUUUCUGAACGCCCAGCCUGAUGCCUGAAACUUUCGUGGGUCCGGUUGACAUCGUGUCGUUGUUCAUCGAGGCCUAGUUUGGCGUCUUGUACUUGACCUACUAGCAGGUCAUAGUGAUGCAAGUAGGCCGCUGGAGCGCCAUGUUUGAAAUUGCUGCAUUGGUUCGAGCAGCACACAAGCAGAGACCCGACCACGGCCUCUCAGCGGCGGCUUGUUUGGUCGCUGGCGUCCCUGAAACAUCUGAGGAGAUAUAAUGGCAUCUGGAGCUAGCAGUUGAUCGAUUAUGGAUUUACUACAAUCAAGCUGAGGAUUCCCUUCAAUCAAGCUGAGGAUUCCCUUCAAUCAAGCUGAGGAUUCCCUUCAAUCAAGCUGAGGAUUCCCUUCAAUCAAGCUGAGGAUUCCCUUCAAUCAAGCUGAGGAUCGCCUCCGUCAAGUAUUGUUACUUUAUUUAUCAUUACAAGCUAAAUAUAAUCAAAAGAUCAACAAUGUAACAACAUAAAAUUUCAUUCUGUGUGUUAUAUCUUUAAAUUCACAGUAAACUUAUAGAGAAACAAUAAUUUUACUCCAAUGAUGUCUGGUGCAAAAUCAUAACUUCAGGAUACAGAAAAUGAUCCGAUGAUUUAUGUAAGAGAAACGACUCAAAUGCAAAAUGUUUUAAAAGGUUUUCCAACAUUGUAGAGACUUUCUGCCUCCAACACGGUGUAAUAGAAACUGUGUUGUCAAUAUUGUUAAUAAAUUCCUUGUUAAAUAUGAAAAUGGGAGUUCUAACUGUAAUUACUGAUUUUUAUUUUUGACGUUUCUUUUAGUUUUCUGUGUUUUAAAAAAAAAUCCCUGUAAUAAAUAACUGUAAACCUUCA